UGGGGAAUUUUGCACAAUGGGCGCAAGCCUGAUGCAGCCAUGCCGCGUGUGUGAAGAAGGCCUUCGGGUUGUAAAGCACUUUCAGCGGGGAGGAAGGCGAUAAGGUUAAUAACCUUGUCGAUUGACGUUACCCGCAGAAGAAGCACCGGCUAACUCCGUGCCAGCAGCCGCGGUAAUACGGAGGGUGCAAGCGUUAAUCGGAAUUACUGGGCGUAAAGCGCACGCAGGCGGUCUGUCAAGUCGGAUGUGAAAUCCCCGGGCUUAACCUGGGAACUGCAUUCGAAACUGGCAGGCUAGAGUCUUGUAGAGGGGGGUAGAAUUCCAGGUGUAGCGGUGAAAUGCGUAGAGAUCUGGAGGAAUACCGGUGGCGAAGGCGGCCCCCUGGACAAAGACUGACGCUCAGGUGCGAAAGCGUGGGGAGCAAACAGG
rnacentral:rRNA from 1 species